UAGGGAAUCUUCGGCAAUGGACGAAAGUCUGACCGAGCAACGCCGCGUGAGUGAAGAAGGUUUUCGGAUCGUAAAACUCUGUUGUUAGAGAAGAACAAGGACGUUAGUAACUGAACGUCCCCUGACGGUAUCUAACCAGAAAGCCACGGCUAACUACGUGCCAGCAGCCGCGGUAAUACGUAGGUGGCAAGCGUUGUCCGGAUUUAUUGGGCGUAAAGCGAGCGCAGGUGGUUUCUUAAGUCUGAUGUGAAAGCCCCCGGCUCAACCGGGGAGGGUCAUUGGAAACUGGGAGACUGGAGUGCAGAAGAGGAGAGUGGAAUUCCAUGUGUAGCGGUGAAAUGCGUAGAUAUAUGGAGGAACACCAGUGGCGAAGGCGGCUCUCUAGUCUGUAACUGACGCUGAGGCUCGAAAGCGUGGGGAGCAAACAGG
rnacentral:rRNA from 1 species